CGACAUCACAAUCUUGGAACUCCUCCUCUCCAAAUCCCCCAACAUCCAGCAUGAGAUGAACGACAAUCCAUGGACAUAUCAUCAUGGAAACGACGAUGAAUCCACCGACAAGGAGCUGAUCUUCGUAAGCUUGUCCUCGUUGAGCGAAUCGCGGUGGAUGCUGGUGAUUGAGGCACAAGGACAUGCUUCAAUACUUGCUGAACGC
rnacentral:lncRNA from 1 species